rnacentral:rRNA from 1 species
AUGCUUUGCUUCCCAGUCAUCAGAAACGUGCAAGUUACCAAGACCCUUAUCGACGGCGGCGCAGGGCUCAACGUCCUGUCCGUCGACACGUUCGACAACCUCCAAGUGCCAUAUGACCAACUUCAGCCUGCCAAGCCUUUCUCAGGAGUGACCGACGGUUCCACAACACCGAUAGGGCAGGUCCACCUCCCUGCCACCUUCGGAGAACACAAGAACUACCGCACCGAGCUCAUCACUUCGACGUCGCGCACAUCCGUCUGCCGUACAAUGCCAUCCUCGGGUAUCCAGCCCUGGCCAAGUUCAUGGCGGUGA